CGGACCGGCGCACGGGUGAGUAACGCGUAUCCAACCUGCCCACCACUUGGGGAUAACCUUGCGAAAGUAAGACUAAUACCCAAUGAUAUCUCUAGAAGACAUCUGAAAGAGAUUAAAGAUUUAUCGGUGAUGGAUGGGGAUGCGUCUGAUUAGCUUGUUGGCGGGGUAACGGCCCACCAAGGCAACGAUCAGUAGGGGUUCUGAGAGGAAGGUCCCCCACAUUGGAACUGAGACACGGUCCAA
rnacentral:rRNA from 1 species